rnacentral:rRNA from 1 species
GAUGAACGCUGGCGGCGUGCCUAAUACAUGCAAGUCGAGCGAACAGACGAGGAGCUUGCUCCUCUGACGUUAGCGGCGGACGGGUGAGUAACACGUGGAUACCCUACCUAUAAGACUGGGAUCACUUCGGGAAACCGGAGCUAAUACCGGAUAAUAUAUUGAACCGCAUGGUUCAAUAGUGAAAGACGGUUUUGCUGUCACUUAUCGAUGGAUCCGCGCCGCAUUAGCUAGUUGGUACGGUAACGGCUUACCAAGGCGACGAUGCGUAGCCGACCUGAGAGGGUGAUCGGCCACCUUGGAGCUGAGACACGGUCCAGACUCCUACGGGAGGCAGCAGUAGGGAAUCGUCCGCAGUGGGCGAGAGCCUGACGGAGCAACGCGGCGUGAGUGAUGAAGGUCUUCGGAUCGUAAAACUCGGUUAUUAGGGAAGAACAAAUGUGUAAGGAACUAUGCACGUCGUGACGGUACCUAAUCAGAAAGCCACGGCUAACUACGUG